UGGUAGUAGGAAGAAGUGCAGUCCAGGAAGCUCCCUCUUAGGCUAAUAGGCACAGGGACUGUUGCCUGAGCUAGAGUCACACCCCUGUGUCCUGGGGCAAUAGGGAUCUGGGUGAGGUGAGGGAUAGAGAGGAAGCCAUGUGGCAAGGUCACAGAACAUUCAGAGGGUAGAGGGCAAAGGGCAGAGGUCAGAGCCGUAGAUGGGUCCAGAUGGUGUGGGGCUGCAUAGGCUCAGAACUCGAGUUUAGACUUUAACUACAGUAUGAAGUCAUUGGAGGGUUUUAAACAGAAGGACAUGCCUGAUUUGCAUAUUAAAAAGAUCACCCAGCUGCUGUGUAAAGAAUGCCUUUUAAAGGCACAAAAAUAGAAAUAGGAAGGCCAGUUAGGAGGCAUUGCCGUCAUCUUGGCAAGAGGCUGAAAGAAGUCUCCAAGAAGAUGGUACCUGGUUUAACCCUAGGUCUUCUGACCCGACCUGGGCUCUUUCCACUCGCCUGUCUCCAUCUGCCAGGGCUUUCCAAGUCAGAAGCAGUGGGUGGAGAACCCAAAGCAGCUAUUGCCUCUGGACAGCAAAGAUAUCUUUUGAUAUUCAAUGAAUUGGAGCAAGAAUUGUGCUGUUAUAAUCAAUUAACUAUGAAGUUUUAGCCCAUUGGCUGGAACUGAGUGGCAUCUGCUGUUAUUGACUUUCGUUUGAGGCUGUCGGUGCACUUAAGCCCUCAGUGCAUGGAAGAGUCUGGCUGGCCAGCAGAAUAAAGGAGUGAUUGCCUGUCCACUUCAUCAGGUUUUAAAUGAUGCAAGAAAAAUAUUCACUACAGGAGAAUGCUGCUGAUUAUUAAUGAAUCUACUUUUUCAUUAAAGUGAGUCCAGCAGGACUUAUACUGGGAAAUACUUAGAAUUAACAGAGUUAUGUGUUUGAGAUAAAAAUAAAAAGACAGAGCCCUUGAAGAGAAGAAAAUGCCUAUGAAUAAAACACCUGGGAAAAGUGUGGUUUUGUUGUGAGUCCCCUGGAGGCCCAUGGGCUGCUGCCUCACCAGCUCUGGCAACAAGUACGGGAUGAUUUCAGUGAUAUAACAAAGGAGAACAGGCUUCUCCUCUGUGGAAAAAUAUGACGUGUGUGUCCACAUGAUAAAAAAAAUCUGUGUUAGUUUGAACUUCUUCCAUUGCUUCUUAAAUAGCUUUAUUGAGAUAUAAUCACAGACCAUAAAAUCUACAAUUUAAAGUGUACAACUCAUUGGUUGUUGGUGUAUUCACAGUUGUGCAGCUGCCUGCACAGUUUGAAUUUAAAUGGUUGUCAUCACCCCAGAAAGAAACUCCACCCUUUAGCAUCACUCUCCCACAUCUGUAUCCCCAGCCCCAGGGAACCACCAUUUGGUUCUCUGCGUUUGCCUGUUUCUGGACAUGGCAUGUAAUAGGAGUAAAGUGUUCUUUGUGUCUGGGUUCUUCCUCUCAGUGUAAUGUCACUGAAGUUCAUCCACGCAACAGUAUUUCAUUCCUUUCUAUUGAGAGAAGCAGUACUCCACUGUAGGGAUGUAUCACAUCUUUACCCUUUUAUCAGUUGAUGCACAUUUGAUUUUCAUUUUUUGUUUAUUGCGAAUAAUACUGCUAUGAACAUUUGGGCCCACAUGUUAUGUGGGACAAUGUUUUUAUUUCUCUUACAUGUGUACUCAAGAGUAGAGAUCUAGGCCACAUGUGAUUUCUUGUGUAACACUGUGAAGACUGCCAAAAUGUUUUCCAAAGUAACUGCACCAUUUUACAUUUUCACCAGCAAUGCAUGAGAGUUCUAGUUUGUCCAAGUCUUUGUCAAUACUUGUUAUUGUCUGUUUCUUUUUUAUUAUAGUCACCCCAGUGGGCAUGAAGUUGUGCUCCCUUGAUAAUUAGUGAUGUAGAACAUCUUUUCCAAUGCUUUUUGGCCAUUCAUUUAUCUUCUUUGGAUACUUGUCUACUCAAAUCCUUUGCCCUUUUUUUUUUGUUACCAGGGAUCGAA